CUUUACUGUAGCUUGGAAUUGAGUUUGAGUUUAUUUUGCGCAGUAUAGGUGGGAGGCUAAGAUAAUAAGCUUGAGGGUUUAUUGGAGCCAAUAGUGAGAUACCACUCUAAGUAAACUAGAAUUCUAACCUUGAUAGUCGUUAGCCGGCCAAGGAACAGUUUCAGGUGGGCAGUUUGACUGGGGCGGUCGCCUCCUAAAAGGUAACGGAGGCGUGCAAAGGUUCCUUCAGGCUGGUCGGAAAUCAGUCGUAGAGUAUAAAGGCAUAAGGGAGCUUGACUGCAAGACCUACAAGUCGAGCAGAGACGAAAGUCGGCCUUAGUG
rnacentral:rRNA from 1 species